CUAACGACGCUCUUCCGAAGUGAUCCUGAUCUAGCAGACGGUGCUCGAAGGUGAGUCGGAGCUGUUGCUCUAAAAAUUUAAAGACUCCCUUUCUGCUAUCUGGCAUUUGCCCACAGUCUCAAGGUAAACCACAGAAAACCUUGAGCAGAUAGUCGAG